rnacentral:rRNA from 1 species
CCUGGCUUAGGACGAACGCUGGCGGCGUGCCUAAUACAUGCAAGUCGAACGGUCUUUCUUAUGGAAGCUUGCUUUCACUGAGAAGAAGUAUGGGCGGACGGGGUGAGGUAACACGUGGGGUAACCUGCCCAUAAGAGGGGGGAUAACAUCCGGAAACGGGUGCUAAUACCGCAUAGUUUUCUUGAUCGCAUGAUCGGGAAAGGAAAGACGGCCUUUGUGCUGUCGCUUAUGGAUGGACCCGCGGCGUAUUAGUUAGUUGGUGAGGUAACGGCUCACCAAGACGAUGAUACGUAGCCGACCUGAGAGGGUGAUCGGCCACAUUGGGACUGAGACACGGCCCAAACUCCAACGGGAGGCAGCAGUAGGGAAUCUUCCGCAAUGGACGAAAGUCUGACGGAGCAACGCCGCGUGAGUGAAGUAAAAGGGUUUUCGGAUCGUAAAACUCUGUUGUCAGAGAAGAACAAGUUGGAGAGUAACUGCUCCAGCCCUGACGGUAUCUGACCAGAAAGCCACGGCUAACUACGUGCCAGCCGCCGC